rnacentral:rRNA from 1 species
AUUGAACGCUGGCGGCAGGCUUAACACAUGCAAGUCGAGCGGAGAUGAGGUGCUUGCACCUUAUCUUAGCGGCGGACGGGUGAGUAAUGCUUAGGAAUCUGCCUAUUAGUGGGGGACAACAUUCCGAAAGGAAUGAAAUACUGCAUACGCACUAAGGGGGAAAGCAGGGGAUCUUCGGACCUUGCGCUAAUAGCAGGGCCAAAGUCGGAUUGGCUAGUUGGUGGGGUAAGGGCCUACCAAGGCGACGGUCUGUAGCGGGUCGGAGAGGAUGAUGCGCCACACUGGGACUGAGACACGGCCCAGACUCCUACGGGAGGCAGCAGUGGGGAAUAUUGGACAAUGGGCGGAAGCCUGAUCCAGCCAUGCCGCGUGUGUGAAGAAGGCCUUUUGGUUGUAAAGCACUUUAAGCGAGGAGGAGGCUACCUGGAUUAAUACUCUAGGAUAGUGGACGUUACUCGCAGAAUAAGCACCGGCUAACUCUGUGCCAGCCGCCGCGGUAAAAC